rnacentral:rRNA from 1 species
UACAGAGGUCCCAAGCGUUGUUCGGAUUCAUUGGGCGUAAAGAGCGUGUAGGCGGCCCGGUAAGUCCGCUGUAAAAGUCAAAGGCUCAACCUUUGAAUGUCAGUGGAUACUGCCGGGCUAGAGUCCGGAAGAGGCGAGUGGAACUCCUGGUGUAGCGGUGGAAUGCGCAGAUAUCAGGAAGAACACCAACGGCGAAGGCAGCUCGCUGGGACGGUACUGACGCUGAGACGCGAAAGCGUGGGGAGCGAACAGG